UACAGAGGUCUCAAGCGUUGUUCGGAUUUAUUGGGCGUAAAGGGCGCGUAGGUGGUUGAUCAAGUCUGGGGUGAAAUCUUUCGGCUUAACCGGAAAAGUGCCUUGGAUACUGGUCAGCUGGAGGGAGGUAGGGGCAGUUGGAACUUCCAGUGGAGCGGUGAAAUGCGUUGAUAUUGGAAGGAACGCCGGUGGCGAAAGCGAGCUGCUGGACCUCUUCUGACACUGAUGCGCGAAAGCUAGGGGAGCAAACGGG
rnacentral:rRNA from 1 species